GACGAACGCUGGCGGCGUGCUUAACACAUGCAAGUCGAACGGAAAGGCCCUGCUUUUGUGGGGUGCUCGAGUGGCGAACGGGUGAGUAACACGUGAGUAACCUGCCCUUGACUUUGGGAUAACUUCAGGAAACUGGGGCUAAUACCGGAUAGGAGCUCCUGCUGCAUGGUGGGGGUUGGAAAGUUUCGGCGGUUGGGGAUGGACUCGCGGCUUAUCAGCUUGUUGGUGGGGUAGUGGCUUACCAAGGCUUUGACGGGUAGCCGGCCUGAGAGGGUGACCGGCCAAAUGGGACUGAGGUAAGGGCCCGACUCCUACGGGGGGGAACAGGGGGGGAUAGUUCCCAAAGGGCGGGAGGCUGAAGGAAGGACCGCGGGUGGGGGAAGACGGCCUUUGGGGUGUAAACCGCUUUCGCCUGUGACGAAGCGUGAGUGACGGUAAUGGGUAAAGAAGCACCGGCUAACUACGUG
rnacentral:rRNA from 1 species